GAUAAUGAAAAUAUUCAUGUGUCAAAAUUCAUAUAUAUCAUAUUUAAUCAUUACACAGUUUCCACUUUUUGUUUUGUACUAUUAGGUUUAAAUCUCCACGGGCCAUUAAAUUUGUAUAUACUUUUUCAAUAUUAUAAACAAUACUACAAUAAAUAAUCUUGUAUGGAAUCUUUGAGCAUAUCCUUAUUUUCUCAGGAUAAAUUCUCAUAAGUGAAACUAUUCCACAAAAAGAUAUGCAUAUUUUUGGCUGGGCAUGGUGGCUCACCCAUAUUACGUAAUCCUUGCACUUUGGGAGGCCAAGGCGGGUGGAUCACGAGGUCAAGAGAUCGAGACCAUCCUGGUCAACAUGGUGAAACCAUCUUCUAAGAAAGACUGCAGCAGUGUAUAAAGGUAUCUAUAACUGAUCUAUACCUGUCAACACUAGGGUUUUUGUUUUUAAUAUUUACCAACCUAACGUGUGAAAAAUGCUAUCUCCAGUGUUAACUUCUGUUUCCUUGAUAACUAACAAGGCUGAACAUUUUAUCACUGAGAACUUGGGCCUUGGAAUGAGACGGACUUAAUUUUAAGCUAUGCAAACUUAAUUUCUCAGUCUCUUUUCUCCUCUACAAAGUGGGUUAACGAUGUCAACAAGGAUUAUAUAACAUACACAACCUUGUAACAUUUAAAGCACUUACUACUCUGCCUGACAUGUUAGGUACACAACAAAUAUGAUUACUUGUUUACCUUAAAGCAGAUAUGUGGGGCUCUCUUCUCUUCCUCAAAUCAUCAGACUGGAACAUGAAAAGAGAGGAAAAAAAAAGGGAUUUCCUUCACAUAAGAAACACACAAAGGAAAGCAGUUUAGUGAGCGUUCUGGUCCUAACAUUGACAUGAAGAGCCCAGACUCCGAAGCCAGGCUGCUUAAGUUUAUUAUAGGUCCCUUCCAUUGGAUGGCUCUGUGACUUGGCAAGUUAUUACCCUCUGUGCUGUACUCAUUGAACAAAUACUUAAGUCGUUAUCAUAGUCUAGUUCCUAUGCCUGUUAAGGGAGACAGACAACAGACACAAAAAGCAGAUUAGUAUAAAGAUGGUGAGUGCACAAGGGGAAAAAAAAAAACCCAGGAAAA